CGCGAACUGAACCACAACAAAAAAUCCCACGCUCACCUUCACCCCACCUCCCUCAUGACAACCACCUCGCCCACUCCCCUGAUUCCAAACCCCACCUACCACCACCUUCUACCGGAGUGCCACCCCAGGCCGCCGCCACCCCACCCCACCCCUGUCCUCCUUCUACCGACGCCGUUGCCGAAGCACCUCCCAAGGUCGCUACCCCGCCGCCCGGCCCCCGUCCACCUCCUACCAGCGCCGCCACGCCACACCUUUCGGCCACCCGCAUCCCGGCGCCGAUGGAUAGGGGCUCCCCGCACCCCGCCACAACUGGCCGCGACCUUCAGCCCCUCGUUGGCAAGCUAUGGUGGUCCUCACGCCCCACAUGGCACCUACCACCACGAGACAGAUCCAGGCCACGGCAGCCCCCCAGUGCCGGAUCCAGGCCACGGCGGCCCCCCACCGCCGGAUCCAGGCCAUGGCGGCCCCCUCACAACGCCCCGCCGCCGGAUCCGGUACCCCACGUUGCCCCUCCGCCAACCAGCGGGCAUGGCCUUCCCGUCCAUGCGCCUCCACAACCACCCCGCCAUCCCACUUUGGGCCUCCUAUGGUAUGCUUCGUCAAGCCACCGGCGGCGGCGCCGUGCAGUCCAUUGCAUGGAAGCACGCAGCAUGCCCAUCUCGCCAUUGAGUGGUUUGGGUAGUGCUCCACUGCAGGUCGGUUGCUGGAGGACGGCGGUGGUGACCUGCGGAGAUGGGAGUUGGAUGCCUGGUGCUGCUCCUGCGCCCUCCUCUUCUGCCCUUCGUCCACCCUUCUUCUCCUCCAAGGAUAGGUCCGUGGGGCCCCACAUCGCCGGCGUCAGCCUCCAACAAGUAGUGGCCCGAGCGUCCCCUCCCCUCCCCAGCCGGCAACUUCCAAGACGCCCCUUUCCUCUCUAAGCAGGCGGCCAAGCCAGGUGAGAAAAAUGGACAUGGCCACUGUAUCCAUGCUUUGCGUGCUGUGGUGCGCCCCUCCACCAUGUGCAGUCCGGUUUUCUUCCAAUAAGAGUCAUCGUUCUCGAGCGCGAGCUCCUACUCUCCUCCGCUGUUUUGGGCUGGAUGCCUAUCACACCUAGAGUGAGCUACCGUGGCGUCCGGCUCUGCUGUGUAGUCCGCAUCGCCAAUGAAAAGCGUGCCCCCCGUUCCUUUUCUCCGUGAUGAGCAAUGCAAGGUCGUCGCUGGAGCAGUACGCUUGCCUCAUCUCUCGCGAACCACUGCAUCCCUUGCCAGCAGUUUGCUAUGUUUCUCUCUUCUGUUCUUUGUGUAUGAAAAAUGGACUAACUUUUCUUUAAUAGUUUGACCUUUCAUGUUUUAGAUUUUUGCUGUGCUCCCGGAUGUGCAGUGCAGUGCACCCGAAUCCCGUGAGCAGUGCGCCGUGCUCCCUGGUGUGGUUUAUCCACGACAGCGUGCGGUGUCCAUGUGCAUUUUUGCAGUUCAGUGGAUGGAUGUUUCAGUGUCUUAUGUUUAUUGUCGUGCCCGUGGGGAUGUAUGCAUGUUUGUAAAAUGGGUGUGCCCGCGGUCCAGCGUGCUGCUAGCCUCCACUGUGCAGUACGACUGGGCGUGCCAUGCGGUUCGACAGUGCUCUUAUACACUUCGCUGAUUUUGUGAUUUCUAAAGAGAAAAAAUGCAAAUGAAGUACGCUAUGGUUUGCUAUUGAGGUUCA